AAGUUCCUGUUAAAACCGCGCAUUUCUGAAGACAGGAUGUGAGCAGUGCCUCAGGUAUUCAGGAAGCAGCGAACUUCAGCUUCCUGACGACUACAGACAGACUUCAAUAUUUUAUCCUUCGCUUCAUUUUCAUACCAGCAGCUUUUGUUCAACUACAGUGAGAUAAGUUACAACAAGUCAAGAUCAUGGACUUCCCAUGGCUGAUGUCAUGGUUGGAGAGACUUUGGUCUUGGGUUUCGAGGUUUUCAGGACGACAACCUCAAAUAGCGGUGACUGAUAGUACCGGUGUUGUUACCGCCAGAGAACUAAAAAGUAAAGAAGCAAAAGGCCUCAAAAUGACGAUCGACACAGUGAGUGAUCCAGAUAAUCAUCCAGGGAAGGAUGUUGGACCGGCUUCCAAAGCAACUUACACUGCAACGGGGGGCGGCGUCAUAUGUGCUGACAAAAUAUCUAUCGACACUAUUGACGGCGAUAUCGAUCUGUCAAUAUCCGUGAAAAAAUCAAACUAGGUGCAUGACAUUUUGCCAAGGAUCACUCCUUUAUCCUGUGAAUGCUUAAAAACAUCGCUAAAGCCAAAAGAAACUGUUAUUAACCUGAAUGAUGUGAUUGGAUUUAUUUGGAUCUCUUUAAGCUCAUUGGCUAAUCUUCCAACAGUCCACAAUAAAAACAUUUAAACAAUCCAUAGAUAAUUUACACACAAUUUAAUUGUUGCUGCACAGAUUAUCAUACACACACACACACACACACACACACUGGCACACACGAUAGUGUAAUGAAAACUACAUAUUUCAGUCGACAAUCGAUUGCAAUCGAAAGCGAUGUGAAAUGAUUUUUAAAGGUCAAGAAUCCUACUCUCUUUUUAUUGAAAUUCUCAAAGAGCCUGAUGUUCUGAAGUCUUAUCUACAGCUCAAACAAUGGACCAGCAAAGGAUACUAAGAAGGAGUGAUAUGGAAUUUAUUCUUUCUGUGCAUUAUUUUGUUCAUGCCAGUUUUUAUAAUCAAAAUAUAAAUAUUUUUAAAAUCUUAUUCCUGUUUUUUAGAAUAGAUCACACCCAAUAAUGUUAUAAGUAACAUUUGGAAACGGAAGUGUUAUCUAUUUUUGCAAUAAUGGAAAAAUAAAAAUCCCAUUUUCAGUAAAAUUACA